AUGAACGCUGGCGGCGUGCCUAAUACAUGCAAGUCGCGCGAACAGACGAGGAGCUUGCUCCUCUGACGUUAGCGGCGGACGGGUGAGUAACACGUGGAUAACCUACCUAUAAGACUGGGAUAACUUCGGGAAACCGGAGCUAAUACCGGAUAAUAUAUUGAACCGCAUGGUUCAAUAGUGAAAGACGGUUUUGCUGUCACUUAUAGAUGGAUCCGCGCCGCAUUAGCUAGUUGGUAAGGUAACGGCUUACCAAGGCAACGAUGCGUAGCCGACCUGAGAGGGUGAUCGGCCACACUGGAACUGAGACACGAUCCAGACUCCUACGGGAGGCAGCAGUAGGGAAUCUUCCGCAAUGGGCGAAAGCCUGACGGAGCAACGCCGCGUGAGUGAUGAAGGUCUUCGGAUCGUAAAACUCUGUUAUUAGGGAAGAACAAAUGUGUAAGUAACUAUGCACGUCUUGACGGUACCUAAUCAGAAAGCCACGGCUAACUACGUG
rnacentral:rRNA from 1 species